AUACGGAGGUGACUAGCGUUGUUCGGAAUUACUGGGCGUAAAGAGUUCGUAGGCGGACUGACAAGUAAGAGGUGAAUCCCAGGGCUCAACCCUGGAACUGCCUUUUAAACUGUUAGUCUAGAGACCGGAAGAGGUUAGGGGAAUACCUAGUGUAGAGGUGAAAUUCGUAGAUAUUAGGUGGAACACCAGUGGCGAAGGCGCCUAACUGGUCCGGUACUGACGCUGAGGAACGAAAGCGUGGGGAGCAAACAGGAUUAGAUACCCUAGUAGUCC
rnacentral:rRNA from 1 species